rnacentral:tRNA from 1 species
UUGGCGUUAGCUCAGUUGGCAGAGCGUCAGAUUGUGGCUCUGAAGGCCGCCGGUUCAAAUCCGGCACGCCAACCCA